rnacentral:sRNA from 1 species
UGUUCAGGAUUAAUAAAAUGAACGUGUGUAUCUAUACCACCAGCAGUUACGAUUUUACCUUCUGCUGCAAUAACAUCUGUAGUAGAGCCAAUAAUAAUGUCGACAUUAUCCAUUAUAUCUGGGUUGCCGGCAUUACCGAUGGCAAAGAUAUAACCGUUUUUAAUACCUAUAUCUGCUUUUACAACUUUAUCGUAAUCGAUAAUAACGGCAUUAGAAAUAACUAGAUCUGCUACAUUAACAUCAUCACGUGUUACACGAGGAUUUUGAGCCAUACCGUCA